UACGUAGGGUGCAAGCGUUGUCCGGAUUUAUUGGGCGUAAAGAGCUCGUAGGCGGUCUGUCGCGUCGGAUGUGAAAACCCAGGGCUCAACCCUGGGCCUGCAUUCGAUACGGGCAGACUAGAGUGUGGCAGGGGAGACUGGAAUUCCCGGUGUAGCGGUGAAAUGCGCAGAUAUCAGGAGGAACACCGGUGGCGAAGGCGGGUCUCUGGGCCGAUAUUGACGCUGAGGAGCGAAAGCGUGGGGAGCGAACAGG
rnacentral:rRNA from 1 species